rnacentral:rRNA from 1 species
UGGGGAAUAUUGGACAAUGGGCGAAAGCCUGAUCCAGCAAUGCCGCGUGUGUGAAGAAGGCCUUCGGGUUGUAAAGCACUUUCAGUGGGGAGGAAGGACUCAAUGCUAAUAUCAUUGAGUAUUGACGCUACCCACAGAAGAAGCACCGGCUAACUCUGUGCCAGCAGCCGCGGUAAUACAGAGGGUGCAAGCGUUAAUCGGAAUUACUGGGCGUAAAGCGUGUGUAGGUGGUUAGGUAAGUUAGAUGUGAAAUCCCCGGGCUCAACCUGGGAACUGCGUUUAAAACUGCUUAGCUAGAGUACUGUAGAGGAUAGUGGAAUUUCCAGUGUAGCGGUGAAAUGCGUAGAUAUUGGAAGGAACACCAGUGGCGAAGGCGACUAUCUGGAUAGAUACUGACACUGAGACACGAAAGCGUGGGGAGCAAACAGG